rnacentral:rRNA from 1 species
GGGCCCGCACAAGCGGUGGAGCAUGUGGUUUAAUUCGAUGAUACGCGAGGAACCUUACCAGGACUUAAAUGUAAGUUGCAUGAUUCAGAAAUGAAUCUUUCUUCGGACUACUUACAAGGUGCUGCAUGGUUGUCGUCAGCUCGUGCCGUGAGGUGUCAGGUUAAGUCCUAUAACGAGCGCAACCCCUAUCGUUAGUUGCCAUCAAGUAAAGUUGGGAACUCUAGCGAAACUGCCGGUGCAAACCGUGAGGAAGGUGGGGAUGACGUCAAAUCAUCACGGCCCUUACGUUCUGGGCUACACACGUGCUACAAUGGCCGGUACAGAAAGCAGCCACUAUGCGAAUAGGAGCUAAUCUUUAAACUCGUUCUAAGUUCGGAUUGUAGGCUGCAACUCGCCUACAUGAAGGUGGAAUCGCUAGUAA